rnacentral:rRNA from 1 species
UACGUAGGGCGCAAGCGUUGUCCGGAAUUAUUGGGCGUAAAGAGCUCGUAGGCGGCCUGUUGCGUCCGCUGUGAAAUCCCGGGGCUCAACCCCGGGCCUGCAGUGGAUACGGGCUGGCUGGAGGCAGGCAGGGGAGAACGGAAUUCCUGGUGUAGCGGUGAAAUGCGCAGAUAUCGGGAAGAACACCCGUGGCGAAGGCGGUUCUCUGGGACGGUACUGACGCUGAGACGCGAAAGCGUGGGGAGCGAACAGG